GACGAACGCUGGCGGCGUGCUUAACACAUGCAAGUCGAACGGACAGGCCCUGCUUUUGUGGGGUGCUCGAGUGGCGCACGGGUGAGUAACACGUGAGUAACCUGCCCCUGACUUUGGGAUAACUUCAGGAAACUGGGGCUAAUACCGGAUAGGAGCUCCUGCUACAUGGUGGGGGUUGGAAAGUUUCGGCGUUUGGGGAUGGACUCGCGGCUUAUCAGCCUGUUGGUGGGGUAGUUGCUUACCAAGGCUUUGACGGGUAGCCGGCCUUAGAGGGUGACCGGCCACAUUGGGACUGAGAGACGGCCCAGACGCCUACGGGAGGCAGCGGGGGGGAAUAUUGCACAAUGGGCGGAAGCCUGAUGCAGCAACGCCGCGUGCGGGAUGACGGCCUUCGGGUGGUAAACCGCUGUCGCCUGUGACAAAGCGUGAGUGACGGUAAUGGGUAAAGAAGCACCGGCUAACUACGUG
rnacentral:rRNA from 1 species